AGCCCAGCCCUCCUGCCCCAUCAGCACCGGAGCCUGGAAGCCAGUCGGGGGCUAAUUGAGUGGGGGCGGGCGCUGUUAUAUAAGUCAGAGGCAGGCCUGGCAGCCACACACCUGGGGAGGGGUCGGUCGCUGCAUCUGUUCCUGCGAUGGCUCCCAUGGCUCUCGGGAGCGUCACCUCUACCUCCUCCUCCGAGACCACCUCCUCCCUGACCUCAACCUCUGCAGCGUGUUCCUCAGGGUCAGCGGGACCUGGAAAGCCAGGCCCGAGCCACACUGGGACCCACCGGAUGCGCCGCCAUCCUCCUGUGCUGAGCAUGGUGCUGGAGGCGCUGAAGGCGGGUGAGCAGCGCCGGGGCACCUCGGUGGCAGCCAUCAAGGUUUACAUCCUGCACAAGUACCCAGCUGUGGACGUCAUCCGCCUCAAGUACCUGCUGAAGCAGGCCCUGGCCACGGGCCUGAACCGCGGCCUCCUCGCCAGGCCUGCCAACUCCAAGGCCAAGGGCGCCACAGGCAGCUUCAAGCUGGUUCCCAAGCGCAAAAGGAAACCCCAGCCCAGGAAGACCUCCACCAAGACAGCGCCCAGAAACACGGGGGCGGCCAAAGAAAAGGCCCCCAAGAAACCCAGCAAGGCAAAGAAGGCCCCUCUCAACCUAGGCCAGGCCAACAGGGAGCCCAGGAAGCCAGGAGAGGGGAGGGCGGCUCCCCCCAAGCCAGGUGCAGCCAAGAAGAAGACCCCCAAGGAACCCAGCGAGGCAAAGAAAGACCCUCCCAACCCAGGCCCUGUGAAAAGGGGGCCCAAGAAGCCAGGAGAGGGGAGGCCGAUGGCUCCCCUCAAACCAGCCAAAGGGAAGGCUCCCCCAAAAGGUGGCCAGAUCAAGGACGAAGAGGCAAGACCGGGCAAGGCCAGGAAGACCCCCCAGCAGCCAGACAAGGCCACGAAGGCCCCUCCUGCUGGGAAGGCAAGGACCACGGGCAGGGACAACCAAGCAGGUGCCCAGGCCCUCAGCAAGACGGGAGCCAAGAGUCGGAGCUCAAAGCCCACAGUCGCCAAGGGUAGCCACCUUUGACCCGCCCCCUGCAUUUGUGGGGCUGCCACGGAGACGCUGGUUACGGGAAGCAAGGACCCAGGGGAGCAGACCCGGGAAUGACCGGCCCCCACAAGCAGGGCUACAGUUAAUGCACAUUUGCUGAGAGAAAGGAGUUUCUGGCCCCCACUAAAGCAGCCCCUGCCCACCGAGAUCGACGUCCUCUGCACGCGGCCACUGUGAGUAGGGCACGUUCUUGCAGAAAGCUUCCAGGAUCUUCUCCUUCACCUGCGUCAGCGUGUCGGUGUCCAUGGCCCGCACGCUCAGUGAGUCCAUGCCGCAGCCCUGGAAGGACACGUUCAGGUUCUGCAGGAGAGAGG